UCAGCCAGUAAGAGCUGUCAUUCCAAAAGCAUGCAAAGAAGGAUUGAAUUUUCAGAACAGCCACAGAAUGUAUUGUGAAUCAUCUACUAUAGAUAUACCAGGUGAAACUGGAUGCCUACAUUAAGGUGUUUCCUGGGAGGAGGAUUCAGCUAUCUCAGCUCUGCUAAGCCAGUGACCAUUCAGCAUGAUGAAACCACUUUCCGGCAUCCAGGAAGUUAUUGUCACAUGUUCUUCAACUCCGUUUCUCUUCUUUUGCUCAGGCUUUCGGUCCACAGUAACAACACAUUCAGAGAAUUUCCACUGGGUGCCUGAGCCAUGUCUCCAGUAAUGAAAGGAAGAGUUCCCUGGGAAUAUCACCACUCUCAUGAGUUGACUUAAAAUGUUACAAGAAUUCUGGAAAUGGGAGGAUAGCAGAAUCUGAGCCCUCAGUAGCCCCAAAUGCCAGCCCAAGCAGAACUUGCUCCAUCUGGUCCUUUACUGCCAAACAACACCAGUGCUACAUUGGGAUCACCAAGUGGUUCAGCAAUAAACAACAGAGACGCAUGUGAACAAUAGUCCUGCACCUUCACACCAAGCAGGGUUUUUCUAACUCAACACAGCUGAGAAACUGGCUAACUGGAGUGAGGACUGUCCUGUACUUUACCCUGGAGCAUGUUUGAUGGCAUCUUUACCUUCCAUUCUCAGUAGCAGCUCCCCACCCCAAUGCUGACCAUCUUAAAUGUCACUAGAUGAGGCCAAAUGACACAGAUGGAAAAAAUCACUCCUGGUGAGAACCAUGGUAAGGAAUACUGCACCAGUCAAAAUGCUAACACAUAAAAGAGAAUCAUGAAAAGUUGAUGGAGAGAGUUUGUAUCAACUUUACAUCAAAAGGACCAUAUUAAUUUCCAGCACACAAAUAGUAAGAUGUAAUCCCACUUCACAGGUAUUUAAAUAUUCCUUUAGUAUUUCUCUGGUAACUAACAAGGUUCAGCAUCUUUUCAUGUGCUUACUGACCGUUUGUGUAUUUUCUUCUGUGAAGUGUCUGUACAAAUUUUAUAUAUUUUUAAAAUUGUUUGUCUUUGAGUGUAUUACCUUUUUAAUACAAGACCUUUACCUAUUAUAUGUGUCUGUUCUUCUAAUCUAUUACAGCUUCAUUCAAAGUGCAAUUAUCUCUCCCCCCUUUAUCAUCUGUGUCCUUGCUAUUAUGAGGAACCUUUUCCUACCUCAAUCUCAUGAAGACUUUUUCUUAGAAAUUUGGCUUUUUACAUUUAGGCCUAUGAUCAAGUUAAUCAAAAUGAAGUAUAUACAGACAAUAGAAUAAUACUUGACAGUAAAAAGAAAUAAACUGCUAAGAAUACACCUUAAAUUAAUCUGAAAAUUUUUCAACUCCAUUUAAAAAGCUAGACACAAAAGAAUGGCACAGUAGAAUUCCAUUUGUUGAAAGAAAAAACAUUCUAGAAAAUGAAAAAUCAUCCACGAAGCAGUUUAGUGGUUGCUUGAGGAAGGAAAUGGAAAUGGGAUGAACUGCAAAGGGGAAUAAGGAAGCUUCAGGGAGAGCUGGGAAUGUUUACUGCUUGGGUGGGUAGGUUUACAAUAUUCAAGCCGAUCAAAUGAUUCACUGUAAGUAUGUGUAAUUUGUUGUAUAUAUUCUUUACCUUAAUAAAGAGCCAUUUUAAU